AUCACCUGGGGAUCUUGUUAAAAUGCAGAUUUGGAUUCAGUAGAUUUGAGAUGGAGCUCAGAUUUUGCAUUUUUAACAAGCUCCCAGGUGAUGCUGA
rnacentral:pre_miRNA from 1 species